rnacentral:lncRNA from 1 species
AAAAAAAAAAAAAAAAAAAAAAAAAAAAAAAAAAAAAAAACAAAAAAAAAAAACAAAAAAAAAAAAAAAAAAAAAAAAAACAAAAAAACAAAAACAAAAAAAAAAACAACAAAAACCAAAACAAAAAAACAAAAAAAGUGAAAAAAAAAAAAAAGUGAUGAAAAAAAGAAAAAAAAAAAAAAAAAAAAAAAAAAAAAAAAAAAAAAAAAAAAAAAAAAAAAACAAAAAAAAAAAAAACAACAAAAAA